AGAGCCAGUUUCUUCAGGUGCAGCAGGGCCAUCUUCAGAUUUGUCGUUCUCCCAACCGAUCCUUUUGAGGCUGCCCCAGAAUUCCUCAUCCUCCUCUGCUGGGCUCAUCUGCAGCAAUUUGAAACAUGUAGAUGCUUACCUUAACAUCAGUGAUAUCAACCAAGUUGUCAUUGAGGAAGCUUUUAAACUCCUGGAAGUUCUCCUCUGUGGGGCGGUCGUGGCCACUGUGAGGCCAAAUAGCCUGCCAACAAUAAAGUUCAGGUGGUGUCAGCAUGUUGCCUGAUAAAACUGGAUGUAAUGUAAGAGUUGUUUGCAGAUAAGAAUUGCAUACCUUCAGAGUCCCAUUUUCA